AUACGUAGGUGGCAAGCGUUGUCCGGAAUUAUUGGGCGUAAAGCGCAUGUAGGCGGUGCCUUAAGUCUGUCGUGAAACUGCGGGGCCUAACCCCGUAUGGCGAUGGAAACUGUGGCACUUGAGUGCAGGAGAGGAAAGGGGAACUCCCAGUGUAGCGGUGAAAUGCGUAGAUAUUGGGAAGAACACCGGUGGCGAAGGCGCCUUUCUGGACUGUGUCUGACGCUGAGAUGCGAAAGCCAGGGUAGCGAACGGGAUUAGAUACCCCGGUAGUCCUGGCCGUAAACGAUGGGUACUAGGUGUGGGAGGUAUCGACCCCUUCCGUGCCGGAGUUAACGCAAUAAGUACCCCGCCUGGGGAGUACGGCCGCAAGGCUUAAACUCAAAUGAAUUGGCGGGG
rnacentral:rRNA from 1 species